rnacentral:tRNA from 1 species
ACUUAUAUAAUAUAAAUCUAUUAUAUUUGACUUCCAAUCAAAAAAUCUAAUACCUUAGUAUAAGUA